rnacentral:rRNA from 1 species
AUGAAGGCCUUAGGGUUGUAAAGCUCUUUUAGUGGGGACGAUAAUGACGGUACCCACAGAAAAAGCCCCGGCUAACUUCGUGCCAGCAGCCGCGAUAAUACGUAGGGGGCAAGCGUUGUCCGGAAUCAUUGGGCGUAAAGAGCGUGUAGGCGGCUUGGUAAGUCGGCUGUGAAAGUCGGGGGCUCAACCCUCGAAUGCCGGCCGAUACUGUCAAGCUAGAGUCCGGAAGAGGCGAGUGGAAUUCCUGGUGUAGCGGUGAAAUGCGCAGAUAUCAGGAGGAACACCAAUGGCGAAGGCAGCUCGCUGGGACGGUACUGACGCUGAGACGCGAAAGCGUGGGGAGCAAACAGGAUUAGAUACCCUGGUAGUCCACGCCGUAAACGAUGGGCACUAGGUGUGGGAGGUGUCGACUCCUUCCGUGCCGAAGCUAACGCAUUAAGUGCCCCGCCUGGGGAGUACGGCCGCAAGGCUA